rnacentral:lncRNA from 1 species
GCUGCGGACCCGCCACAGCCCUCCAGGUCGCUGCGGACCCAAGGCCUGCUUGCCUGCCAGCGGCACCAUGGGCAAUUGCCACACGGUGGGCCCCAACGAGGCACUGGUGGUCUCAGACUGUCUCUGGAGGUUAUGACCAUCCUGUGUCGCUGUGAGAAUAUUGAGACGUCGGAGGGGGUCCCGCUAUUCGUAACAGGGGUUGCACAGGAUUUCCCUAGAGAUUAUGACGUUGCAGCCCCGCUGUGAGGACGUAGAGACGGCCGAGGGGGUAGCUUUAACUGUGACGGGUGUCGCCCAGGUGAAGAUCAUGACGGAGAAGGAGCUCCUGGCUGUAGCCUGUGAACAGUUCCUGGGCAAGAACGUGCAGGACAUUAAGAACGUCGUACUGCAGACCCUG